AGACCCGAAACCCGGUGAUCUAGCCAUGGGCAGGUUGAAGGUUGGGUAACACUAACUGGAGGACCGAACCGACUAAUGUUGAAAAAUUAGCGGAUGACCUGUGGCUGGGGGUGAAAGGCCAAUCAAACCGGGAGAUAGCUGGUUCUCCCCGAAAGCUAUUUAGGUAGCGCCUCGUGAAUUCAUCUCCGGGGGUAGAGCACUGUUUCGGCUAGGGGGCCAUCCCGGCUUACCAACCCGAUGCAAACUGCGAAUACCGGAGAAUGUUAUCACGGGAGACACACGGCGGGUGCUAACGUCCGUCGUGAAGAGGGAAACAACCCAGACCGCCAGCUAAGGUCCCAAAGUCAUGGUUAAGUGGGAAACGAUGUGGGAAGGCCCAGACAGCCAGGAUGUUGGCUUAGAAGCAGCCAUCAUUUAAAGAAAGCGUAAUAGCUCACUGGUCGAGUCGGCCUGCGCGGAAGAUGUAACGGGGCUAAACCAUGCACCGAAGCUGCGGCAGCAAACGUAUCACUUAAAGCGAUUCAGCGGGUUACGAUUGACGGAGCGAAGCGACGUCAAAGCGUAUACAAAGUCGAGUCGGUUUAAGGAUACGUUCGUUGGGUAGGGGAGCGUUCUGUAAGCCUGUGAAGGUGGCCUGUGAGGG
rnacentral:rRNA from 1 species